rnacentral:rRNA from 1 species
GUCCUUUUGAAGUUUAUAUAAGGUCUGACCUGCCCACUGAUUUUUUUGAAGGGCCGCAGUAAUUUGACUGUGCAAAGGUAGCAUAAUCAUUAGUUUUUUAAUUAAAAGCUUGUAUGAAGGGUUGGACGAGGUAAAAUCUGUCUCUAUUUAAAUUAUAAUAGAAUUUAAUUUUUAAGUUAAAAAGCUUAAAUUUAUUUAAAAGACGAGAAGACCCUAUAGAUCUUUAUAUAAAUUUUAAUAGUUUUAAUUAAGAAUAUUUUAUUUAUUAUUAUUAUUUAUAUUUUAUUGGGGUAAUAAAAAGAUUAAAAUAAUUCUUUUUUUAUUUAAACAUUAAUUUAUGAUUAAAUGAUCCAAUAGUUUUGAUUAAAAGAUUAAGUUACCUUAGGGAUAACAGCGUAAUUUUUUUAGAGAGUUCAUAUCGAUAAAAAAGUUUGCGACCUCGAUGUUGGAUUAAAAAUUAUCUUAGGUGCAGAAGUUUAAGAUUUUGGUCUGUUCGACCAUUAAAUUUUUACAUGAUCUGAGUUCAGACCGGCGUAAGCCAGGUCGGUUUCUAUCUUUAAUUAAUUAUAAUAUUUUAGUACGAAAGGACCAAAUAUUUAAUAUAUUUAUAUUUAUAUUUUUGAAUAUUAUUAAUUACUUUGGCAGAAUAGUGUAAUGAAUUUAGAAUUCAUAAAUGUAAAUUUUUUACAAGUAAUAUUGUUUUAUAUAGAUUUAAUAUUUUCUUUAAUUUGUAUUUUAUUAUUAAUUAUUUGUGUAUUAGUGGGGGUAGCUUUUUUAACUUUAUUAGAGCGUAAGGUUUUAGGAUAUAUUCAGAUUCGAAAGGGUCCAAAU